GGAGUUUUUACGGUUUUAUUGUGCCGGGCAUGGGAGCCGGGGCCUUGCUAAACACGGGCUCCAUGUCCACCAAGAAGCUUCGUGUUCAGUGCUGCUAUAAGAAGGCAAGGGGAAAACCUUUUCUCCCAUUCAUCCACGCUGUGAAUGAGUGAAUAAGAGGGCAACUCCCACCGCAACUGAACAGGACUGCCCCUGGCUCCUUGGCAGACAGGUGCAGAUCUGGACCAACUCCCAAAGGACCCGUUUCCGGAACAGCAACACGUAUACUCUUAGCACAACUGUGUGGACAAAGUCCUAACGCUUGGGUGGAGGCAACAGUGUCUCCGAAGAAACAGCUCACCUGCAGGAAUACAGCCUGUAAACCGUGGGAAGAAAAGCCCUCGGACCUGAAGGCCAACUCAAAGAUGUGGGAUCAGCUGACGACAUUGCUCGCACUUACAGAAAAGAGCUUUCUAAAGCAACAAGCCUGGAGGUCCAAGAUUACAGACUCCCCAGGGAUGGGGUUAAAGUGAAAAGCUUUCAGGAAGUGGCAUAUACCUCCCCUGCACACGAGACGGAAUGGAUCCUGGAACUCUGUGGCAAUGCACAGCACUGGUACAUUUUUAAAUGAACAGCCGCCAUGAUGAACGAGUUAAAGGUACAAGGGAGCAUUAGGAACAGAGAGCCAAGCACUCCAAAGUGGGCGGGGUUCAUGUUGAGAGGGAGGGAGAAGCUGUCUGAGGGAGACAGGUCAGACUUGGGUGUUGGUGGGCCUCAGGGCUCUUAGGUGGGUUUCCCACAGAGCAAGCUGAAAUUCACACAUCACACAGUGCAGGGAAUGUGUCUGAACAUUGACUCUGCCUGUCUGGAAAACCUCAGAGAAGGACUGAAGAGCAAAGCGGUCAUGCCUGCUUCCACACCCUGCUCACAAACACCAACAUGGAUACCGAUUGACACCCGGUGUUGCUAAUAUGCCACAAGCUUUGCCCACACACAGAGAGCUUCCUUCUAGCUUCCUUUGCUGCAAGGAACCUCGAAUCUGCUGGGGUUUCUAGAAACUCUCUCCAAAC
rnacentral:lncRNA from 1 species